AGAGUUUGAUCCUGGCUCAGAUUGAACGCUGGCGGUAUGCUUUACACAUGCAAGUCGAACGGAUUUGGGGGCUUGCUCCCAAGUUAGUGGCGAACGGGUGAGUAAUAUAUCGGAACAUAUCCGGAAGUGGGGGAUAACGUAGCGAAAGUUACGCUAAUACCGCAUAUGCCCUGAGGGGGAAAGGGGGGGAUCGCAAGACCUCUCGCUUUCGGAGUGGCCGAUAUCGGAUUAGCUAGAUGGUGAGGUAAAGGCUCACCAUGGCGACGAUCCGUAGCGGGUCUGAGAGGACGACCCGCCACACUGGAACUGAGACACGGUCCAGACUCCUACGGGAGGCAGCAGUGGGGAAUUUUGGACAAUGGGCGCAAGCCUGAUCCAGCCAUACCGCGUGAGUGAAGAAGGCCUUCGGGUUGUAAAGCUCUUUCAGCCGGAAAGAAAUCGCACUUUUUAAUACGGAGUGUGGAUGACGGUACCGGAAGAAGAAGCACCGGCUAACUACGUGCCAGCCGCCGCGGU
rnacentral:rRNA from 1 species